UACGUAGGGUGCGGAGCGUUGUCCGGAAUUAUUGGGCGUAAAGGAGCUUGUAGGCGGUUUGUCGCGUCUGCCGUGAAAAUCCGGGGCUCAACCCCGGACUUGCGGUGGGUACGGGCAGACUAGAGUGUGGUAGGGGGAGACUGGAAUUCCUGGUGUAGCGGUGGAAUGCGCAGAUAUCAGGAGGAACACCAAUAGCGAAGGCAGCUCGCUGGGACGUUACUGACACUGAGGCGCGAAAACGUGGGGAGCGAACAGG
rnacentral:rRNA from 1 species